UACAGAGGGGGCAAGCGUUGUUCGGAAUUACUGGGCGUAAAGCGCACGUAGGUGGUUUGUUAAGCUAGCUGUGAAAUCCCCGGGCUCAACCUGGGCACUGCAGUUAGAACUGGCAAGCUAGAGUAGGGUAGAGGGGUGUGGAAUUCCAGGUGUAGCGGUGAAAUGCGUAGAUAUCUGGAGGAACAUCAGUGGCGAAGGCGACACCCUGGACUCAUACUGACACUGAGGUGCGAAAGCGUGGGGAGCAAACAGG
rnacentral:rRNA from 1 species